AGCAGGCAGAGGCACAGAGGAAGUGACAGCAGAUACAUGCCAGGCGUGCCAGCUAAUUGCUCGGGUGCAUCAGAGGUCCACACAGUCCACACCUCAUGGAUAACUAAAGCAGACCAGAUGUACCUGACCACAAUGUGGAGUGUCACAGACACCUUGACCCGCAUCUCAACUCAUCUUAUCCAAAACAUUACCUUUGCCUGAGGCCGUCUGCUCGUCUAAAAGCCAACACGCAAUGGUUCAUGGAAGAUCAGAGAAUCAGAGCAAUUUGCAUUGCAAUGACACCCUUCAUUUGUGCCGCCUACUAAGACCGCAGUAAACACAAUUAAGCAGCUAAUCUCCAAACAUUAACACUGCCUUCAGGUAGUAGAUGACGACCAACCUCAGCACGAGAGCAGCUAAUGUUUACAACAUUACCAUCAAAUCUUGUUUUAA